CUACGGGAGGCUGCAGUGGGGAAUAUUGGACAAUGGACCAAAAGUCUGAUCCAGCAAUUCUGUGUGCACGAUGAAGGUCUUCGGAUUGUAAAGUGCUUUCAGGUGGGAAGAAGAAAGUGACGGUACCACCAGAAGAAGCGACGGCUAAAUACGUGCCAGCAGCCGCGGUAAUACGUAUGUCGCAAGCGUUAUCCGGAAUUAUUGGGCGUAAAGCGAGUCUAGGCGGCUUGUUAAGUCAGAUGUGAAAAUGCGGGGCUCAACUCCGUAUUGCGUUUGAAACUGGCAGGCUAGAGUACUGGAGAGGUGGGCGGAACUACAAGUGUAGAGGUGAAAUUCGUAGAUAUUUGUAGGAAUGCCGAUAGUGAAGACAGCUCACUGGACAGAUACUGACGCUAAAGCUCGAAAGCGUGGGGAGCGAACAGGAUUAGAUACCCGGGUAGUC
rnacentral:rRNA from 1 species